UAGGGAAUCUUCCACAAUGGGCGCAAGCCUGAUGGAGCAACACCGCGUGAGUGAAGAAGGGUUUCGGCUCGUAAAACUCUGUUGUUGGAGAAGAACGUGCGUAAGAGUAACUGUUUACGCAGUGACGGUAUCCAACCAGAAGGUCACGGCUAACUACGUGCCAC
rnacentral:rRNA from 1 species